GACGAACGCUGGCGGCGUGCUUAACACAUGCAAGUCGAACGGAAAGGCCCUGCUUGCCGGGUACUCGAGUGGCGAACGGGUGAGUAACACGUGGGUGAUCUGCCCUGCACUUCGGGAUAAGCCUGGGAAACUGGGUCUAAUACCGGAUAGGAGCCAUUUUUAGUGUGAUGGUUGGAAAGUUUUUUCGGUGUAGGAUGAGCUCGCGGCCUAUCAGCUUGUUGGUGGGGUAAUGGCCUACCAAGGCGGCGACGGGUAGCCGGCCUGAGAGGGUGGACGGCCACAUUGGGACUGAGAUACGGCCCAGACUCCUACGGGAGGCAGCAGUGGGGAAUAUUGCACAAUGGGCGCAAACCUGAUGCAGCGACGCCGCGUGGGGGAUGACGGCCUUCGGGUUGUAAACUCCUUUCGCUAGGGACGAAGCUUUUUGUGACGGUACCUAGAUAAGAAGCACCGGCUAACUACGUG
rnacentral:rRNA from 1 species